GACGAACGCUGGCGGCGUGCUUAACACAUGCAAGUCGAACGGAAAGGCCCUGCUUGCAGGGUACUCGAGUGGCGAACGGGUGAGUAACACGUGGGUGAUCUGCCCUGCACUUCGGGAUAAGCCUGGGAAACUGGGUCUAAUACCGGAUAGGACCCUCCUUUAGUGGUGGGGGGUGGAAAGAUUUAUCGGUGCAGGAUGAGCCCGCGGCCUAUCAGCUUGUUGGUGGGGUAAUGGCCUACCAAGGCGUCGACGGGUAGCCGGCCUGAGAGGGUGAUCGGCCACAUUGGGACUGAGACACGGCCCAG
rnacentral:rRNA from 1 species